rnacentral:rRNA from 1 species
AAAUGAAUAGACGGGGACCCGCACAAGCAGCGGAGCAUGUCGUUUAAUUCGACGCAACACGAAGAACCUUACCAAGGCUUGACAUUUUGUGCAUAGUAUGGAAACAUAUGAAAUGGAAGUAGCAAUAUGGAAACACAAAAACAGAUGGUGCAUGGUUGUCGUCAGCUCGUGUCGUGAGAUGUUGGGUUAAGUCCCGCAACGAGCGCAACCCUUAUUAUUAGUUGCCAAUAUUAAGUUAGGAACUCUAAUAAGACAGCCGUAGAUAAUACGGAGGAAGGUGGGGAUGACGUCAAAUCAUCAUGCCUCUUACGCCUUGGGCUACAAACGUGCUACAAUGGUAACUACAAAGAGAAGCGAGACAGCAAUGUGGAGCAAACCUCAAAAAAGUUAUCUCAGUUCAGACUGUGGGCUGCAACCCGCCCACACGAAGAUGGAGUUGCUAGUAAUCCCGAAUCAGCAUGUCGGGGUGAAUGCGUUCCCGGGUCUUGUACACACCGCCCGU